rnacentral:rRNA from 1 species
AACGAACGCUGGCGGCAGGCUUAACACAUGCAAGUCGAACGCAUCCUUCGGGGUGAGUGGCAGACGGGUGAGUAACGCGUGGGAGCGUGCCCUUCAGUUCGGGAUAACCCAGGGAAACUUGGGCUAAUACCGGAUACGUGCGAGAGCAGAAAGAUUUAUCGCUGAAGGAUCGGCCCGCGUCUGAUUAGCUAGUUGGUGGGGUAAUGGCCACCAAGGCGACGAUCAGUAGCUGGUCUGAGAGGAUGAUCAGCCACAUUGGGACUGAGACACGGCCCAAACUCCUACGGGAGGCAGCAGUGGGGAAUAUUGGACAAUGGGCGCAAGCCUGAUCCAGCCAUGCCGCGUGAGUGAUGAAGGCCUUAGGGUUGUAAAGCCCUUUCGUCCGGGACGAUAAUGACGGUACCGGAAGAAGAAGCCCCGGCUAACUUCGUGCCAGCCGCCGCGGUAA